rnacentral:rRNA from 1 species
UUAGUCGUGGGUUGAGUGUGUGGUGGUGGCAGGCCGCUUGUUGUAUCGUCUCUUCCGACAGCACGCCACCCGAGGCCGGCUCGUUCGAACGUCUCCACUGACUGGAUUAACUACCGGUGUGCCGCUAGGGACCUUGGGUCACGCGAACACGAUGAUCGUCAUGUUAAUGACGACAAGAUACCUCGACCAUUGCGGAUAACGAGACACCAUAGACUGUUGUGGUGCCUAGCUGAAAGUAACGAGCUAAAAUCUUUCCGCUAGUGUCUACUAGGUUUACCUCGGAACGCGAGAACCUUGCUGUCGUAGAUGGUGACAUACACCGCCCCGCAGUUCACGUCGUUUUCGGUGGAUCCUGCAUGCACAAUGCUGUCACCUACAAUCUCAUUAGGUUUGUUUAUGCACAAUCCAAACUAUCGAACCAAUUCACAUUAGUACUAGUUGGACUAGUCCACUAAUUGAUCCAUUCAAAAGCUACAUGUACAUUACCGACCGAACGUGCGGCACAGGAUCAAACUCGUCAUCAUCAUAUCCUUUCAAAUCAAGGCUCAGCCAAACUUCAAAGGAUGAUGAUCAUGUACAUGCACACAGUCCAGAUCGGCAGGUACAAUUAAUCCUUAGAAAAUCGUUAACACAGGCCUAACCCAAUCGUCAGUUGUAUGCUCAUCCAAACCUCAAAUCAGCACCGACGUGAAUAUAUUCGUCGCCAUCAGAACCCAAACAUUGUGGUCUCUUCUUUCUC